rnacentral:sRNA from 1 species
UAUUCUGCCCUACGGGGAAGGAUGAGAAGCUUCGACUAAGGUUCGACUCGAGCGCCAGCGAGAGAACGUUGCCGCAGGCAACGGCCCGAAGGGCGAGGAGCGAUAGCG